rnacentral:rRNA from 1 species
AUGAAGAGAAGCAGUAUUCCUAGCAUCCUGCUGAUGCUUUCACUGGGGGCAGCUCUCCUCGUCGCCGACGACGUGGGCGCCAUUCUCCUGCCAAGCCAAGAUAAAGGAGUUGCAGACCAAGUGGCCAUGGCGGCGCCCAGGCCGUGGAAGUGCUGCGACGUGACCAUCUGCACCAGGUCGAUCCCGCCGACGUGCAGCUGCCAGGACGUGGUCGACAACUGUGCUCCAACCUGCGAGGACUGCAAUGGUUAUGUACACCCACCCCGCCGUGUUUGCCUAGACCGCUACACCGGCGACCCCGGGCCUAGGUGCACGGGCGCCGGCACCGGCGGUAACUGA